GAUGAACGCUAGCGGCAGGCUUAAUACAUGCAAGUCGAGGGGCAGCAUAGGGUAGCAAUACUUGGGUGACGACCGGCGCACGGGUGAGUAACGCGUAUCCAACCUGCCUAUAACUAGGGAAUAACCUUGCGAAAGUACGACUAAUGCCCUAUGACUUCCUUUGGCGGCUCCAAAUAAGGAUUAAAGCUUUAUCGGUUAUAGAUGGGGAUGCGUCUGAUUAGCUUGUUGGCGGGGUAACGGCCCACCAAGGCAACGGUCAGUAGGGGUUCUGAGAGGAAGGUCCCCCACAUUGGAACUGAGACACGGUCCAAACUCCUACGGGAGGCAGCAGUGAGGAAUAUUGGGCAAUGGGCGGAAGCCUGAACCAGCCAAGUAGCGUGCAGGAUGACGGCCCUAUGGGUUGUAAACUGCUUUUAUACAGGGAUAAAGUUAGCCACGUGUGGUUAUUUGCAGGUACUGUAUGAAUAAGGACCGGCUAAUUCCGUGCCAGCCGCCGCGGUAAAAC
rnacentral:rRNA from 1 species